rnacentral:misc_RNA from 1 species
GUUCGGCUGAUCUGUUUGAGCAAACCAGAAACUAUCCAAUUGUCUGAAUUCAGAAGUUGCUAUUUAUGGGUUAACUGGAAUGGCAUAAUUGUAUUUGGGAUGGACGUUAUAACGGCAUUAAUCAAAUGGGUUUCCUUUAGGACCAUGACAAUACUUUGUGAGAUAUUCUUUGACUAUAAUUACUAGUUUGAUCCUAAAUCCUUAUUGCUAAAUCUAUCAUUUUCUUAUAUACACUGGUAGGAAUGAUCUAUUGGCCCCCAAUAUUAACAUUUGAAUAAUAUUUGAUUUCCAGCUGGGACUUAGAUCAGUUGGUAGCUGGUAACUUUUUUCCCCCAUAAUUUGAUAUUUCAUUGAGGUAUAUGCUUAAAUGGAACAAUGCUUAAUUGGCUGCUACCAUUUUGAGCAGCUUCAGAUAUCUCUCCGUUCUUUCCAGGUAUCUCCGAAAAACUCAUUUGGUUCCAAAUUUCCUCUUUUCAGGCAUUUCUGGUGAUCCAU